rnacentral:rRNA from 1 species
CGGGACGGGUGAGUAACGCGUGGGUAACCUGCCUCAUACAGGGGGAUAACGGUUAGAAAUGACUGCUAAUACCGCAUAAGCGCACAGUACCGCAUGGUACCGUGUGAAAAACUCCGGUGGUAUGAGAUGGACCCGCGUCUGAUUAGCUAGUUGGUGAGGUAACGGCCCACCAAGGCGACGAUCAGUAGCCGACCUGAGAGGGUGACCGGCCACAUUGGGACUGAGACACGGCCCGG